ACGGUCCUUUCGGGGAUAGUGGCGGACGGGUGAGUAACGCGUGAGAACGUGGCUAUUGGUCGGGGACAACAGUUGGAAACGACUGCUAAUACCGGAUGUGCCUGAGGGUGAAAGAUUAAUUGCCAAUAGAUCGGCUCGCGUCAGAUUAGCUAGUAGGUGAGGUAAUGGCUUACCUAGGCAGUGAUCUGUAACUGGUCUGAGAGGAUGACCAGUCACACUGGAACUGAGACACGGUCCAGACUCCUACGGGAGGCAGCAGUGGGGAAUUUUCCGCAAUGGGCGAAAGCCUGACGGAGCAAUACCGCGUGAGGGAGGACGGCUUUUGGGUUGUAAACCUCUUUUAUCAGGGAAGAAUUUAUGACGGUACCUGAUGAAUCAGCAUCGGCUAACUCCGUGCCAGCAGCCGCGGUAAUACGGAGGAUGCAAGCGUUAUCCGGAAUCAUUGGGCGUAAAGCGUCCGCAGGUGGUUAAUCAAGUCUUUUGUCAAAGCGUGCCGCUUAACGGCAUACGGGCGGAGGAAACUGGUUGACUGGAGUGCGAUAGGGGUUACGGGAAUUCCCGGUGUAGCGGUGAAAUGCGUAGAUAUCGGGAAGAACACCAGUGGCGAAAGCGCGUAACUGGGUCUGCACUGACACUGAGGGACGA
rnacentral:rRNA from 1 species